rnacentral:rRNA from 1 species
AUUGAACGCUGGCGGCAUGCCUUACACAUGCAAAUCGAACGGUAACGGGCCUUCGGGUGCCGACGAGUGGCGCACGGGUGAGUAAUACAUCGGAACGUGCCCGAUCGUGGGGGAUAACGAGGCGAAAGCUUUGCUAAUACCGCAUACGAUCUACGGAUGAAAGCAGGGGACCGCAAGGCCUUGCGCGGACGGAGCGGCCGAUGGCAGAUUAGGUAGUUGGUGGGAUAAAAGCUUACCAAGCCGACGAUCUGUAGCUGGUCUGAGAGGAUGAUCAGCCACACUGGGACUGAGACACGGCCCAGACUCCUACGGGAGGCAGCAGUGGGGAAUUUUGGACAAUGGGGGCAAGCCUGAUCCAGCCAUGCCGCGUGCAGGAUGAAGGCCUUCGGGUUGUAAACUGAUUUUGUACGGAACGAAAAGCCUUCUUUUAAUACAGGAGGGUCAUGACGGUACCGUAAGAAUAAGCACCGGCUAACUACGUG